AACUCUCAGCAACGGAUAUCUCAGCUCUCGCAUCCAUGAAGAACGUAGCGAAAUGCGAUACCUGGUGUGAAUUGCAGAAUCCCGCGAACCAUCGAGUCUUUGAACGCAAGUUGCGCCCGAGGCCACUCGGCCGAGGGCACGCCUGCCUGGGCGUCA
rnacentral:rRNA from 1 species